UACGUAGGGGGCAAGCGUUGUCCGGAAUUAUUGGGCGUAAAGAGCGCGUAGGCGGUCCGGUAAGUCCGUUGUGAAAGUCAGGGGCUCAACCCUUGAAUGCCGGUGGAUACUGUCGGGCUAGAGUCCGGAAGAGGCGAGUGGAAUUCCUGGUGUAGCGGUGAAAUGCGCAGAUAUCAGGAGGAACACCGAUGGCGAAGGCAGCUCGCUGGGACGGUACUGACGCUGAGGCGCGAAAGCGUGGGGAGCAAACAGG
rnacentral:rRNA from 1 species